UCUUAUUCAGAGUGGUGGAGGUACAUAGGACCUGUGAAGCCACGGCAACCCCUUAGCCAUAAGGAAGGUGCCAACCUGAGCGAUAAGACGAUAUGUCUUCGAACAAUAAG
rnacentral:ncRNA from 1 species